CAACCUUCAGACAAUACUUUUUCUACAACUUUUACAGAAUUUUCUCACAAGUUUUACGCACCUUUUACCUUAUGCCGCAUAAUUUAACAUGAAACAGAAGGAAGUCUGAUAGAAUACUGAACGCAAAUCAGACGUACUGCAGGCGGAAUGUCAUCGAAGCUCAGUCGUGUCUCUUAUUCAAUAAAGACGCAAGCUUGAUGUAACCGUUUUCUUUUUAGACGAUUAUUCAAAGGCGUCGUAUAAAUGAUCAAUCACAAACAUUCAAAUUCUGAUGUCUACUUAUAGUUUCUCCUCUGUUUAAUAUUAUAUAAUAAAAUCACACAAAUAUCAUGCAAUAAAAUUAAACAAAUAGUAUAUAUUAAAAUGAGACAAAUAUUAUACAAUAAAAUCAGGCAAAUAGUAUACAAUAAAAUGAAACAAAUAUUAGACACUAAAA